GAUGAACGCUGGCUGCAGGCUUAACACAUGCAAGUCGAGGGGAAACGACUGGUGAGCUUGCUUCCCCGGGCGUCGACCGGCGCACGGGUGAUUAACGCGUAUCCAACCUGCCUCUGACUGAUGGAUAACCCGUCGAAAGUCGGCCUCAUACUUCAUGGCAUCGUCUGCUGGCAUCCAACGACGAUUAAAUAUUUCAUCGUUCAGAGAUGGGGAUGCGUCUGAUUAGCUUGUUGGCGGGGUAACGGCCCACCAAGGCGACGAUCAGUAGGGGUUCGGAGUGGAAGGUGCCCCACAGGGGAACUGGGACACCGUCGAAACUGCUACGGGAGGCAGCAGUGAGGAAGAUUGGUCAAUGGGCGAGAGCCUGAACCAGCCAAGUAGCGUGCAGGAAGACGGCGCUAGGGGUGGUAGACUGCUUUUAGGAGGGGACAAGGUGAGGGACGGGUGCGUCAUUGCAGGUACCGGAUGAAUAAGCACCGGCUAAUUCCGUG
rnacentral:rRNA from 1 species